UAUUAGCGUGAGGUUGGGAACAAGAGAUUGGGGCUGACGUUUGAAAGGGUGGAUGGGGCUAGAGGUGGUUUUCAGAGUUUCAGCCUCUUUGUUUGACUGGAAUGUUUUAUUAUUUCUCCUCCAAAACUGAGCACUGUUGCCCUCAGUGAAAAUAAAAGGAGCUGGGCCCUCACUUUUGUGCUGCCUUGAGUGUGUGGGUGAGGGGAGGCCAGCUUACAGCGGGCUCAGAGGCAGGGACGGCUGUGGAAUGCUGCCCGCCAUCGUGACUGAGCAGUAAUUUAGUUUUCCACAGCAGAGUGGGAUUUACGUUCAAUUUACAGCCCUCACAGGAAUUUCCCCUGCCUCUUAUUUGGCCUUGUGAAUUUUUUGGCUCUAGUGUCUGUAAGCAGAGGCAAAUGUCAACAGUAAGGGGUCUUGCUGACAAAGAAGCAACUCUUUGUAACUCACUGAAGAUUUUUUUUAAAAUCAAAUUCCUAGUUUUGUGAGCAUGAUUGCGUUUUGUUCAGAAUCAGGCACUGGGAACAGGCUGGGAGAUGCACAGAUGAGUUCUUCAAACAAAGCCUCGCUUGGCCACUUGGCUACCAGGCGGUGCAGGCAGGGAGGCGACGGUGCUGACCUCAGCAAGGCUGUGUGCCUGAGGAGAACCGGGUGGAACUCAGCGCUUUGUCUCCUAAGAGAACAGCAACUUUGUGAGCGCCGCCUGAGGGUUAAGGAAAGGGGUCUGUUUGAGGUACCCAGGUGGCGUCCUUACCAGCAGCAGUGGGCACCCUGUGAGGUCCCGGGGGGCACGACCCAUGGGUCGAAGCUUAGCAUCUCAUUCACGUUCCUUCAAACGGAGGGGUCUGCCACUUUACCCAGUGCUGAGCUCAACUGACCACUCACUCACAGCAGAGAUUUGGACCCAGCUUCUUGAAGGUCUUCCAACAAAUGAGAGUGUUUCCACACAGAAGGGGCUGCUGUUGGUUGCACUGCUUUCUCUUAACAGCAGGGAUUGAUGUCACAUUGGGCCAUAAGAGAUGACGCUGGCCUUUGAAAGCUGGCCUUGCACACAUGGACUUCUUAAAAACAGAUGCUGACAUAAUGCUGGCACUCAGCUGAUGGUGGCCAAGCACUAGGGAUAUCAGUGUCCGAGUAGAUGCACCUGACAAAGGGGUUGGGCUGCGUCUUCUUUCACAAGUGUCUGACUUUCAAUAAAUCUUGACCAUUCCGAAAACCUUAGCCAAAAGUCACCUACCAGAAAGUCAUUCUCGCACUGUGGAUACAAUUCUGUUAGAAAAAGAUUUGGCAGGAAAAGGAGGCUAUUUCAGGUUCUAAGACUUAAAACAAAUUACUCCUAUUAUAGAAGGUUAUGGAGCCUGUAAUUUUCUGUAUCUGACUUGCAUGUUAUGAACAAAGCCAUCAGUUCCUACUACUCAGAAGUUAUUGCUCAGCCAGCUCUGUUCUGGAAAUCAAUAUUUAUUAUGUACCCAAAUGGCCCCUCUGCCAGCCUCAAUAUUUCUUCUGCUUGUGACACAGAAAAUGUGCCAUUUUCAUUGGAUGUGGACUCCAACAGGAAUUCCAGUGAAUUCCUGGAAUGCAUCAGUGCCAGUACCACAUACACCUGAUUCCCAUAGCUAUGGAAUAAAUCUCAGAACUGGGUUAAUAGAGUCUUUUCAUUUUGUUUUUCUAGUGUAGCGAUUUUGCCUUUGAGUAUCUAUUUUAGAUUAUCUUGUCUAUAUCUAUGAAUUUUCAUUCUGAUUUUUAUAGAAAUUUCAUCAAACCUGACAAAUAGUUUGGAGAUAAGUGAUAUCUUUAUUACGUUGAAAGGCUUCCGAUCCAUGAACAUGGGGAACACAAGCUUCAGAAAAUGAACUGAGAGGUGUUUUCUAGAAGAUACUGUGUAUGACUGGAGCAGGAAUCACAUUGCAGAAGCCAAAGAAAAGUCACUGAGAAGAAAGGGGUGAGGUGGGAGAGGGGCUCUUACCCCGAAACAGAAAAUGAAUAAGAAAGAUGAUGCCUGUAGAUCAAACUGAACCAACAGACAACUUGAGAAGGAAGUGCCACUCUACUCCGCCAGCCCAUGGGCCCUGUUCUUCCGGAGAACAGCUGUUUUGAAAGUUAGGCAAAUGAGCUGAGCUAGAGCUGCAGAAACCAGACUCCCAGGGCAGACUAGGCAUAGACUAGCCCUUCCGACGUUGCCACUCUCCACACAUGGGAAAGAUGCAUUCCUGCAUUCUCUCUGGGAUGCACAGAGGGCAGAUGAGGCCCUCAGACCCAUGCCAUAGUGAGGAUAAACAGGUGAACUGCAUCCCACCAAACUCCACUCACAAUCAGUUCGGCUCACACGCUCAACCAGCAGGUGUGAGCCCGCUUGCUCUGACUGUCUGCCCAACCGCAGGCAGGCACAUCUGAAGAGCCUGGCUCCAGCCCUGCUUGUCUGCAUGCCCAUUGGCUCACAGGCACCAGCACCCAACCACAGGCAAAGUUCACUCUGGGCCCACUUUGCAUGCCAGCACUCUGCCAAAGUCACCAGAGCAUCUGCACAGAGAACAGGGGUGGCCAUCUGUGACCAGACUGCAACUAAGACAAGAAGGGGGCUGGGCAAACAUUUUGGCCUAAGGCAGGUUGGCACCAUAGGAAUUGCAUACAAGAUUUCUUGCUUGAAUGCUGGAGCUGGUUUGCUAUGGGGGUUAUUUUUCUGGGUGUUUGUUUGCUUGCUUGGCUUGGAUUUAGUUACUGUUUAUUUCUCUCUCUCCUCAUCUCCCUACUCGCUUUUCUUAACUCUAGCAUCUGCAGCAAAGUUAGCUUUUAAUUACUUAGUUUGCUCGCUUUCUAAAUUCUCCUUUGCAAGUUCUUUCCCUAAGUCCCAUUUUCCCUGUAGACCUUCCCAUCUUAUCCCCGCCUUAACCUUUGGCACAGUGCACUCUCUUCUUGUUCCACCUUACUGGUUCUCCCUUCCUCUUCUCUGCUUGUAGGUGCACAAAUCCAUCAGCAGGGUCUGACACCCUCGAAGCAUUUCUCAAUCCCUAAUUGUAACUCUUAACUCCUGUGACAGUAUCUGCAGCUAUUUUGAGGCCAACAAAGAGGCAUCGUGGUAACUGUUGUUGAUUUUGUAUUGCUUUGAAGUUCUGUAUCACUUACACUGGUUUGUUUGGAUUGGUUUCAUUCUGUUUUAUUUUCUUUGGUUUUAUACUCUUUAAUAUAAAGUAAUAAUAAAAAAGAAGCAUCAGAUAAACAGGAAACUUCACUUUCACUUAAAAAGUAAAGAAAACAAAGGAUCACUGAAAUGUUUGGACUAGAACAAUUACUUCUUUAUAAAUAAAGAUCUAAAUUUUUAAAAAUCAAAAUAAAUUUUAGACUGUA